ensembl:lncRNA
CCGGGUGCCAGCACAACAGGAGCACAGAACCCCCGAACCUUUUUUUUUGGCAAUGGCAGCUCCCAAAAUCACAUGAGGUGAAGGACAAAUAGAGAGUGUGAUAUGAAAUCGCCUCCAGGAUGGGAUCCCAGGACUAAGCAGGAGGGAGAGCUGCCACUGGUGACUGCAACACCUCUGGGCUCAGCAGGAAACCUCACAGAGUUUCACUGGGAGCCUCCAGAGGAGAAGGAAACCCCGGCAGCAGCAAGGGAAAGAGGGAGGAGAAUAUCUUCCCGGGAUGCUGGAGAAGGUCACUCGCUGAAGGGAGCGGGGAUAUCUGCAGCAGGACACCUGGAAUCGUCAGCUCCAUGCCGCUCCCAGCCCCACGGCUACUCAUCAUCUCCAGCCCAGCAGGAGCUGCAGCUUUUAUCCCAGAGCCGUGUUUCGGGAUCCUCUGGCACCCUUUGACGAUCCCACGGGAAAUGCCUGGCACGGCGCUGAAGGAAAUGCUGUAUGGAUCCACGGAAGGCACGGGAUGGGGCUGCCCCGGGCUGUCCUGUUUCCAGUCCUGAAGCCCAGGGACACGUCAGUCCCCAGGACUCUGGGGAGAGCAGUGCCCAGCCCAGCCAGGGAACUCUGCUUCCAGAAGGAUAUUCUGGCAAGGCAAUGACCCCCGUGCCCCUGGAAAACCCACCAGUCCCAUCUGGAGGACUGCUGGCUUGCCUUCCCCUUGGAAUUGCCUUGACGUCCUUCUUUUACCAUCUUCCACACUUCAUUUUUCUCUCUUCUUCUGUUUAAAUGGGGAAAUGGUUCUGCCCUCCCUCCAUUAAGAGUUUCUCCUUUGACUUCCAAUUUUGACGCAUUUCCCCCAGACAUGUGCUAUUUUAAUCAGAAGCAAUCAGCCAUUAAAGCCAGAUUAAUUAAAGAAAUGAGUUUACGUAUUUUCCUAAUGAUCUGAAACAAUCUUGCAUUUAUAAUGCUGUUUGUCUGCAACCCAUCACUGCUUAAUAUCCCUGAUCAGAGAGGAUGACGCCACCUCACCAUUAAUCACUGCUUGAAUAACAAAGUAGCUGAAUCGGAAUCUCCUGCAUCCUUUGGAGACAGGGAUUUUGGUCUCUUUUCUCAUUUAUACUGCAGCUAACAGCCCUGCCCUGCAGUUCCUUAAAGCCACGGCAUGUGUGGAUUCACUGUGCUCUUUGCUCGACUCCAUUCACCAUGUAUUUAAUUCUGAAUUUUUUGCUCUGCUGCCUUAUUCUGAACAGUCCUUGCUACAAUCAGGGGACAGGGACAAAGCCCUGUGGGACUCUACACAUUUGGAGCAACGACCUCUCUGGCUGUUUCUAUUUCUAAAGCUUUUAAAACCAUCACAGUCACUACAAACCCAUCAAACAUCAGGGUUUGGUGAGAAGAUGCUGAAUUUAUGACGGCAUAUGGGGUCAAAAUGAUACCAAAAUGAUAUCUCAAAGACACUGAGCUGAUGGUGCUUUUUGGUGUAAAUGGUGUCAUGGAUAAAGACACUAAAUGCAACCCACAGAAAUGAUGUCAUAAAUACCAUCAGUGAGGAAAUGAUGUCAUCUAGUGAUGGCAUAAGUGAUGGGUUACAGGGUCGUUGCUGCCCUCAAAGAAGGACCCUUAGUGAGUGAGGUAAGAUGAAGAUAAUUGAAAUUUUACUUAAGUUAGUUUAAUAUUAGUUCAUUAAUAAAGUGUCAGCCUGCUAAUAGUCA